CUCCCUUCCUCUCUCUCUUUCUCCCUUCCCUUUUUUCCUUUCUUUCCCCCUCCCUCCCUUUUUUCUUUUCUUUCUUUCUUCCCUCCUCCUCUCCUCCCCCUUCCUCCCUCUCUCUCUCCCCCUCCUUCCCUUCCUUCCUUCCCCUCUUUCUCCCUUCCUCCAUUCCUUUCUCCCUCCCUCCCUUCAGCGUCGCCCUCGGGUUCAGUGAGGAGCCGAGCGGGAGCUGCCCCGGCUGCGGCAGCAGUAGCAGAAGGGGAUAGGAACUGCGGAGUUGAGCAGGUGUGAAGGUCUCCUGCAGAGAGAUCAGCCCAACCAAAGUGGAAACCAGACUGACUGCCUGUCUUCAGCCACACUGCCUCACCACUGCCUCCUCUGGACACAGCUGAAUGCCUCAGGACCUUCCAAAACAGUUAAGGCACUGAAUGGGAGAAGAGUGCAGAAAGCUUGGCAGAUGGACCCAAGCAGCAUAUGCUGUGUUCACCUAAAGCAUGACAUGGACUGAAAUGAACUCAGGACAAAGGAUGGUCAGAGGAGUCAGGAGGAGGAAGAUGCUUUAGCUGACACUGGGUAUGGAAGUACCUGCUGGAUAUGGAGCAGGAUCUGACUGGGGGAAGCCAGAAUCAGGUUUGAUAAUUUCUUAUAGCGAAGAAGAUCAUCAGGCUUCUGUUGAAGAGGUGUGAUGGGCAGAAGAGGAGGUAGGGAGCUGAACCACUUUUUAAAUGAGGUGUUGGGAAGCUGCUGGCAGCUGUACAGUCUGUCAUCACUACCUUGCAUAUCUCUUUGUGGCCAAUUCACUCUCUCAUUUUAUGUUUACGUGGGAGAAGAGAGUAUGAAAAAUGUUAGCUUUAAUUAAGUCAGCAAUAUUACUUAGCUUUGACACAGUUCAUUUUCCACUCGGGUGAAAAGGGGUCCCUCAGCAUGCACUGCUAUAUAUCCAUGUGAUAAGGGAGAGUCUGUCCUGUUCCCUCCUCUCAGCCCUUCACAUCCCUGCCACUCCUCACAUGUCGCUUUAGAAACACCCUGAGCUGCAGCUGCACAAACAUCUGCGACCACAUUAAAUGAACUUAAGCCUCUCAUUUUUAAGGCCACAGAGGUACAGCUGUGCCAGUGCUGGGCUUUACACCUGACCUGCAGGGGGUAGGUGGCACGGACUGAUGGCAGGCCUGCCGUGAGUUCCGAGAUCACCUGUGCCAAGGUGGGACUCAGGGAAAUCAAGAACCCAACCACACUCCAGGACUUUGUGGAGACCCUGAGACCUCCCAAGAAUGGCAAGGUUGUGGCAUCAUCUGAAUGUGGGAAUGACUGGUACUAGGGAAGCAAUUAUUAGUAAAUAAUUUACCAAGAAAUGGGACUUCAGAGAAAUGAAACCAGUUGCAAAUCCAGACGUAAUUCAACAAGCACUUUUGACUGGAAAGCGAGUGUGGGAGAUAAAUUUUUAAAAUAUCAAAACAUUUCAUUUCAAGGCAAUUUUCCUGAAUUAUUCUUUUCUAAAUGCCAAAAUGCUGUGAAUGGUCAUUUUCAAAGUGAAUUUCUGACAUUUCAUUUCAAGCCAGCAUUUUGCAUUUAAAACUUGACCCAGAUUGAAAGAUGAGAGGUCAGACACAAGAGCCUAAUAACCACAAAAUAAAACCUGCUAUUUCAAGUUCAGCAGAAUGUUUCAAUCUCUGAGUCAUGCCAUUUGAAAUAAAAAAUAAAAAAUCACCACAGAGCUCCUGCGUAUCCAGGUCAACAUGCCCCUAUAUGACACCUCUGAGGUGGUGGAGUCACUGGAGCAGAAACAGACGGUGUGAUGGGGCAAAAAACCAGCCAGCAGUGGCCUGAAAUGAACUUGAAAAUGCCCUUGAGCAUCCCAGACAGAAUUUCACUCUUUUAUCAAUAAAUUUCACUUUGAUCUCAAUAAGGCUGUUUAUGGUGGGAUAUGCACCUCUUAGGGAUGUUUGUGUAUGUUCAGCUUCAUGGGUAGCAACAGA